GCCUACGGGGGGCAGCAGUGGGGAAUAUUGCACAAUGGGGGAAACCCUGAUGCAGCGACGCCGCGUGAGUGAAGAAGUAUUUCGGUAUGUAAAGCUCUAUCAGCAGGGAAGAAAGAAAGUCCUUUGGACUUUGGACGGUACCUGACCAAGAAGCCCCGGCUAACUACGUGCCAGCAGCCGCGGUAAUACGUAGGGGGCAAGCGUUAUCCGGAUUUACUGGGUGUAAAGGGAGCGUAGACGGCAGCGCAAGUCUGGAGUGAAAUGCCGGGGCCCAACCCCGGAACUGCUUUGGAAACUGUGCAGCU
rnacentral:rRNA from 1 species